UAAGAAUUAGAAGGGUUACACUUCUUCUUAAGACUUUGAAGGUCUUUGGUCUUAUUAUCCUAAAUUC
rnacentral:tRNA from 1 species